GAUGAACGCUGGCGGCGUGCUUAACACAUGCAAGUCGAACGAAGAGCGGUGGAAGCUUGCUUCUAUCAGUCUUAGUGGCGCACGUGUGUGUAACGCGGAAUCAACCUGCCCUUCAGAGGGGGACCACAGUUGGAAACGACUGCUAAUACCACAUACGAUCCGACCUCAGCAUCGAGGAGGGAUGAAAGGUGUCGUCUAUUUAUAAGCUAUCACUGACGGAGGGGAUUGCGUCUGAUUAGCUAGUUGGAGAGGUAGCCGCCCACCAAGGCAAAGAUCAGUAGCCGGGCUGAGAGGAUGAACGGCCACACUGGGAAUGAGAGACGGGCCCGACUCUGACGGGAGGCAGAGGUGGGGAAUAUUCCGCAAUGGGCGAGAGUGUGUCGGAGCAAAGCGGCGUGAGUGAGAAGGAGCUUUGGGGUGUAAAGAUCUGUGAAUCGGGGCGAAAGGAAUUCUUGAGAAUAGGUAGAAGAAUUGACGGUACCGGAAUAGAAAGCCACGGCUAACUACGUG
rnacentral:rRNA from 1 species